UACGGAGGAUGCAAGCGUUAUCCGGAAUUAUUGGGCGUAAAGCGUCCGCAGGUGGCACUUCAAGUCUGCUGUCAAAGACCGGGGCUUAACCCUGGACAGGCGGUGGAAACUACCAAGCUGGAGUACGGUAGGGGCAGAGGGAAUUUCCGGUGGAGCGGUGAAAUGCGUAGAGAUCGGAAAGAACACCAACGGCGAAGGCACUCUGCUGGGCCGACACUGACACUGAGAGACGAAAGCUAGGGGAGCAAAUGGG
rnacentral:rRNA from 1 species